GGCGAGAGACGAUAGCGAACAAGUACCGUGAGGGAAAGAUGAAAAGAACUUUGAAAAGAGAGUNAAACAGUACGUGAAAUUGUUGAAAGGGAAACGAUUGAAGCCAGUCGUACCUACGGGUAAUCAGCCCUUCGGGUGUGAUCNUGUGGGNCGUGAUGAGUCAAACNCCGGCCUCCCCGCNUGCNCGUCNCUUCGGGUGUGGUGGCCCGUGUGNUAGUGUACGCCNACUUCGGUGGNCAUUACNUGG
rnacentral:rRNA from 1 species